rnacentral:rRNA from 1 species
GACGAACGCUGGCGGCGUGCUUAACACAUGCAAGUCGAACGGAAAGGCCCUGCUUUUGUGGGGUGCUCGAGUGGCGAACGGGUGAGUAACACGUGAGUAACCUGCCCUUGACUUUGGGAUAACUUCAGGAAACUGGGGCUAAUACCGGAUAGGAGCUCCUGCUGCAUGGUGGGGGCUGGAAAGUUUCGGCGGUUGGGGAUGGACUCGCGGCUUAUCAGCUUGUUGGUGGGGUAGUGGCUUACCAAGGCUUUGACGGGUAGCCGGCCUGAGAGGGUGACCGGCCACAUUGGGACUGAGAUAUGGCCCAGACUCCUACGGGAGGCAGCAGUGGGGAAUAUUGCACAAUGGGCGGAAGCCUGAUGCAGCAACGCCGCGUGCGGGAUGACGGCCUUCGGGUUGUAAACCGCUUUCGCCUGUGACGAAGCGUGAGUGACGGUAAUGGGUAAAGAAGCACCGGCUAACUACGU